CUUGCACCUGAUUGACGAUGGAUCACCAGUGAGUGGCGGACGGGUGAGUAACACGUAGGUAACCUGCCCCGGAGCGGGGGAUAACAUUUGGAAACAGAUGCUAAUACCGCAUAACAACAAAAGCCACAUGGCUUUUGUUUGAAAGAUGGCUUUGGCUAUCACUCUGGGAUGGACCUGCGGUGCAUUAGCUAGUUGGUAAGGUAACGGCUUACCAAGGCGAUGAUGCAUAGCCGAGUUGAGAGACUGAUCGGCCACAAUGGAACUGAGACACGGUCCAUACUCCUACGGGAGGCAGCAGUAGGGAAUCUUCCACAAUGGGCGCAAGCCUGAUGGAGCAACACCGCGUGAGUGAAGAAGGGUUUCGGCUCGUAAAGCUCUGUUGUUGGAGAAGAACGUGCGUGAGAGUAACUGUUCACGCAGUGACGGUAUCCAACCAGAAAGUCACGGCUAACUACGUGCCAGCAGCCGCGGUAAUACGUAGGUGGCAAGCGUUAUCCGGAUUUAUUGGGCGUAAAGCGAGCGCAGGCGGUCGCUUAGGUCUGAUGUGAAAGCCUUCGGCUUAACCGAAGAAGUGCAUCGGAAACCGGGCGACUUGAGUGCAGAAGAGGACAGUGGAACUCCAUGUGUAGCGGUGGAAUGCGUAGAUAUAUGGAAGAACACCAGUGGCGAAGGCGGCUGUCUGGUCUGCAACUGACGCUGAGGCUCGAAAGCAUGGGUAGCGAACAGGAUUAGAUACCCUGGUAGUCCAUGCCGUAAACGAUGAGUGCUAGGUGUUGGAGGGUUUCCGCCCUUCAGUGCCGGAGCUAACGCAUUAAGCACUCCGCCUGGGGAGUACGACCGCAAGGUUGAAACUCAAAGGAAUUGACGGGGGCCCGCACAAGCGGUGGAGCAUGUGGUUUAAUUCGAAGCUACGCGAAGAACCUUACCAGGUCUUGACAUCUUGCGCUAACCUUAGAGAUAAGGCGUUCCCUUCGGGGACGCAAUGACAGGUGGUGCAUGGUCGUCGUCAGCUCGUGUCGUGAGAUGUUGGGUUAAGUCCCGCAACGAGCGCAACCCUUGUUACUAGUUGCCAGCAUUAAGUUGGGCACUCUAGUGAGACUGCCGGUGACAAACCGGAGGAAGGUGGGGACGACGUCAGAUCAUCAUGCCCCUUAUGACCUGGGCUACACACGUGCUACAAUGGACGGUACAACGAGUCGCAAGCUCGCGAGAGUAAGCUAAUCUCUUAAAGCCGUUCUCAGUUCGGACUGUAGGCUGCAACUCGCCUACACGAAGUCGGAAUCGCUAGUAAUCGCGGAUCAGCAUGCCGCGGUGAAUACGUUCCCGGGCCUUGUACACACCG
rnacentral:rRNA from 2 species